rnacentral:misc_RNA from 1 species
UAACAUUUUUCGUUCGCAGGUAGAGGAAGAGGGUACUUAACUAAGUGCAUUUCAGCUAUAAUCCAUCAGUGAUGACAAGUCUAUGCUGGGGUAAAAACAAAAGGGAAAGGAAAAAGACCAAAAGCAUUUACUGUCCAGAAUAACCCUAAAAGAACUAAAAUGAAUAUGUUACACACUCAACUCUAUGCUCUUGCAUGAAUAAAUGGAUGAACUGGCAACUGUUCCACAAAUACCAGCAACAAAAAAUCACCAUCUUUUCAGUAAACUUCCGUUGCUCCAUUAGAAGUAGGUACUCUUUGUCGUUUCUCCACGUACUCAGAUGGAAACCAACCUGCCCUGCCUUGGCAUUCUCCUUCUGACCAACCUGAUUGAGUCACCUUACGAACCACAACAUAAUCACCGACAGACAAGCUUAGCUCCUUUUCUGAUUCAGCUUCAAAAGAAUGAAUAGCCUUGGCCAAAAAGUAUUUUGUUUUCUCAGGUAUGUGGGCCGGAGGGUUUACAGGAAGUGUGGCUACAGGAGGAGCAGCCUCUUUUCGCUGCUUUUCAGAAACUAUCUCAGCUUCAAUAUUACCCAGAAUAACAGCAACUCUCUCGUGAUAAAGCUUUUCUGCUUCAACCAUUGCAACAAG